rnacentral:rRNA from 1 species
AUAAUAUAAGAUUUAACCUGCCCACUGAAUAAUUAAAUGGCCGCGGUAUUUUGACCGUGCAAAGGUAGCAUAAUAAUUAGUUUUUUGAUUGAAAGCUGGAAUGAAUGGUUGGACGAGAAAAUUACUGUCUCUUAUUAAUUUUAAAUAAAAUUUUAUUUUUAAGUUAAAAAGCUUAAAUUUUAUUGAAAGACGAGAAGACCCUAUAGAGUUUUAUAGUUUAUUUAAAAUUUAAUUUGAAGUAUUUGAUUUUUGUUUUUGUUAAACUAUUUUAUUGGGGUGAUAGAAAGAUUAAAUUAACUCUUUUUUUAUUAAAACAUUUUUAUAUGAUUAAUUGAUCCAUUUUUUAUGAUUAUAAGAAUAAAUUACCUUAGGGAUAACAGCGUAAUCUUUUUGGAGAGUUCUUAUCGAAACAAAGGAUUGCGACCUCGAUGUUGGAUUAAAAUUUAUUUUUGGUGUAGAAGCUGAAAUAUUGAGUCUGUUCGACUUUUAAAAUUUUACAUGAUCUGAGUUUAAACCGGUGUGAGCCAGGUUGGUUUCUAUCUUUAUUUAAAUAAAAUAUUUUAGUACGAAAGGACCAA